UCUACUGAGAUGAGUUGUGACACUAUUAGUGCAGUAAUGCAGUAAUAUACAAGUGCUACUGCUGGAACGAAUAAUGUCACUAUUAAUGCAAUAAUGUCAUUGCUGGAACGAGUAGUGGCAUUGCUAGUGCACUAUUGUAAUACAUAUAAAAAUGAUUUGAAUACAAAUGCAAGAGUAUAGUUACGCGAAUUCAUUCCUGCAUUAGUAGUAGCACCAUAGUUGUGCUCAAAGUCUCGCUACAAAUGCUUUGAAGCAUUUGAUAGACUAAUUAAUUAAAAGAAAGAAUUUUACGAAGGGUGCUUCCGAUAACCCAAGUUUGAGUUAGUUCCAUUAAGACCGAAAAUAUGACAGACUACCUAGUACUUUCAUGAUUCAUGAUAACUCAACGCUGUCUUGUAUGCCAUGAGUUGAGUUAGUUAACCUAUUUAUGCUCAAUUUCUUCACUUCUAGAUGGACAUCACCUCGAAUUGGGCAUUGCAGAAAUUUACUUAAUUACAAGUAGAACAAAAUGUUUACUGCAGAUAAAUUUGUUGAAGAAACAAACAAUGUUGUUAAUUGCAGAGUUCAAUGGACUGAUGACAUGACAAAAUUAUUGUUAGCAGAAAUACAAAUAAAUACAGAAACCUCUACAAACUUUUAUGGAAAAUUGAAAAAAAUGUAUGAAAAAUAUUGCUGCAUCUAUGAACAUCCAUGGAUAUAACUUAACUGCUGACAAUUGUUACAUUAAAUGGAGUAUGAAAAAAAAGUAUACAAAGCAAUUAAAGAUGCAAAGAAACAAACUAGGACAGCAAAACAAACUUGGGAAUAUUUUGAUAUUAUUAAUGAUAUGUUAGGACAAAAUCCUGCAAUUGCAUCAUUGUUCAUUGCAUCUAAUAUACGUGGUUUUACAAUAAAUAAAAAUAUUUUACAUUCA